ACUCCUACGGGAGGCAGCAGUGGGGAAUAUUGCACAAUGGGGGAAACCCUGAUGCAGCCAUGCCGCGUGUGUGAAGAAGGCCUUCGGUUGUAAAGCACUUUCAGUAGGGAGGAAGGUAGUGUAGUUAACACCUGCAUUAUUUGUACGUUACCUACAGAAGAAGCACCGGCUAACUCCGUGCCAGCAGCCGCGGUAAUACGGAGGGUGCGAGCGUUAAUCGGAAUUACUGGGCGUAAAGCGCAUGCAGGCGGCCUGUUAAGUCAGAUGUGAAAGCCCGGGGCUUAACCUCGGAAUUGCAUUUGAAACUGGCAGGCUAGAGUCUUGUAGAGGGGUUAGAAUUUCGAGGUGUAGCGGUGAAAUGCGUAGAGAUCUG
rnacentral:rRNA from 1 species